UGGGGAAUUUUGGACAAUGGGCGCAAGCCUGAUCCAGCCAUGCCGCGUGCAGGAUGAAGGCCUUCGGGUUGUAAACUGCUUUUGUACGGAACGAAACGGCCUUUUCUAAUAAAGAGGGCUAAUGACGGUACCGUAAGAAGAAGCACCGGCUAACUACGUGCCAGCAGCCGCGGUAAUACGUAGGGUGCAAGCGUUAAUCGGAAUUACUGGGCGUAAAGCGUGCGCAGGCGGUAAUGUAAGACAGUUGUGAAAUCCCCGGGCUCAACCUGGGAACUGCAUCUGUGACUGCAUUGCUGGAGUACGGCAGAGGGGGAUGGAAUUCCGCGUGUAGCAGUGAAAUGCGUAGAUAUGCGGAGGAACACCGAUGGCGAAGGCAAUCCCCUGGGCCUGUACUGACGCUCAUGCACGAAAGCGUGGGGAGCAAACAGGAUUAGAUACCCUGGUAGUCCACGCCCUAAACGAUGUCAACUGGUUGUUGGGAAUUCACUUUCUCAGUAACGAAGCUAACGCGUGAAGUUGACCGCCUGGGGAGUACGGCCGCAAGGUUG
rnacentral:rRNA from 1 species